UUACCGACAACAACCAGAUUACCAGAAACCGGCAAUGCAUGCAUAGAGGCCAUAACGAUGAUCACCACUGGCCUGAAAUGUCCAAUAUUUCUUGGUUUUGGCUGUUUUCAAAUAGAUUACAACAUGCCUUAGAUGCAUUGUUGCCUUAAUGAGCUGAGACAUUAAUCAAUUUACUAUCGUCGCGUGGAUUGUGAAGUAAAUCCCUAUAGCUUAAACCUUGACUCAAUAACGUAAACAUACCAAAUUAGCGACGGUCAGACAGGUCGUUUUUGGACGACAUACAUUAUAUGAGGGUAAAAUAUCAGUUGCUAUGAAGAAGCGUUGCAAUAAUGCGAUUUUGUUUUUGUUCUUAGCUGUUUCUCUUCAGCUGGCACUAAAUGUAGUAAAAGCAAUUCCUAAUAGAGGUACAGUCAUCCCGCCAAAAGAAACUACGACUCCAAUUCAUCUUGCGUGUUACUUCUGCAAGUAUGGGACAAAUAUCAUGGCAACAUUUUGCAACAAAACUGUGAAGUUAUGUGACGAGGAAAAACCCAACUGCUUAAGUUACAACUACUCUUACAGAAACAAUACUCGUGUGUUUGGUAAGGGUUGUGGAAAAGAUGAUGAUUGUAAGAAUACAACAAAGACUUGUGAAGAUUUUAUGAAAAACACCAAUGUCUCUACGUGUACCAUAUCGUGUUGUGGAGAACCUCGGUGUAAUGAAGGAUCGGUGCAAUGUCAUCAUUUGCGCACUCUAAUAUUAGUAUUCCUCUUUUUCUUGGCAGUAUUUUGAACCACUAAAUCGCAUUAGACGAUAUAUCACGCCGGACGCAACACAGUUCUAAGAUAUAGGCAUUGUUUACUGUUUAGCAUUUCAUUUAUCACUCCCCUAAGUUUUGGAAUCUUUUGUUUAUGCCAUUGGUUAGGAGACGUUCUGCCAAUUACACUCAAGUGUUAGGCAGUUCCACAAUCUCGUAGCUUUUGGCGAGGAUAUAUUAUAUAAUUAAUAUAUUAUAUUAUCUAUUCACAUGA